GCGGGUAUCGUAUAAUGGCAUUACCUUAGCUUUCCAAGCUAAUGACAGGGGUUCGACUCCCCUUACCCGCU
rnacentral:tRNA from 1 species